GAUGAACGCUGGCGGCGUGCCUAAUACAUGCAAGUCGAGCGAACGGACGAGAAGCUUGCUUCUCUGAUGUUAGCGGCGGACGGGUGAGUAACACGUGGAUAACCUACCUAUAAGACUGGGAUAACUUCGGGAAACCGGCGCUAAUACCGGAUAAUAUUUUGAACCGCAUGGUUCAAAAGUGAAAGACGGUCUUGCUGUCACUUAUAGAUGGUUCCGCGCUGCAUUAGCUAGUUGGUACGGUAACGGCUUACCAAGGCAACGAUGCAUAGCCGACCUGAGAGGGGGAUCGGCCACACUGGAACUGAGACACGGUCCAGGCUCCUACGGGAGGCAGCAGUAGGGAAUCUUCCGCAAUGGGCGAAAGCCUGACGGAGCAACGCCGCGUGAGUGAUGAAGGUCUUCGGAUCGUAAAACUCUGUUAUUAGGGAAGAACAUCUGUGUAAGUAACUGUGCACAUCUUGACGGUACCUAAUCAGAAAGCCCCGGCUAACUACGUG
rnacentral:rRNA from 1 species